rnacentral:rRNA from 1 species
GAUGAACGCUAGCGGCAGGCUUAAUACAUGCAAGUCGUGGGGCAGCGCAGGUAGCAAUACUGGGCGGCGACCGGCAAACGGGUGCGGAACACGUACACAACCUUCCGAGAAGUGGGGAAUAGCCCAGAGAAAUUUGGAUUAAUACCCCGUAACAUAACGAUGUGGCAUCACAUUGUUAUUAUAGCUUCGGCGCUUCUUGAUGGGUGUGCGGCUGAUUAGAUAGUUGGCGGGGUAACGGCCCACCAAGUCUACGAUCAGUAGCUGAUGUGAGAGCAUGAUCAGCCACACGGGCACUGAGACACGGGCCCGACUCCUACGGGAGGCAGCAGUAAGGAAUAUUGGUCAAUGGACGCAAGUCUGAACCAGCCAUGCCGCGUGAAGGAUUAAGGUCCUCUGGAUUGUAAACUUCUUUUAUCUGGGACGAAAAAAGGCGAUUCUUCGUCACUUGACGGUACCAGAUGAAUAAGCACCGGCUAACUCCGUG